rnacentral:rRNA from 1 species
AGCGUACACGGUGGAUGCCCUGGCAGUCAGAGGCGAUGAAGGACGUGCUAAUCUGCGAAAAGCGUCGGUAAGGUGAUAUGAACCGUUACAGCCGGCGAUGUCCGAAUGGGGAAACCCAGUGCAAUUCGUUGCACUAUCGUUAACUGAAUACAUAGGUUAACGAGGCGAACCGGGGGAACUGAAACAUCUAAGUACCCCGAGGAAAAGAAAUCAACCGAGAUUCCCCCAGUAGCGGCGAGCGAACGGGGAGCAGCCCAGAGUCUGAAUCAGCUUGUGUGUUAGUGGAACGGUCUGGAAAGUCCGACGGUACAGGGUGAUAGUCCCGUACACCAAAAUGCACAGGCUGUGAACUCGAAGAGUAGGGCGGGACACGUGGUAUCCUGUCUGAAUAUGGGGGGACCAUCCUCCAAGGCUAAAUACUCCUGACUGACCGAUAGUGAACCAGUACCGUGAGGGAAAGGCGAAAAGAACCCCGGCGAGGGGAGUGAAAAAGAACCUGAAACCGUGUACGUACAAGCAGUGGGAGCACCUUCGGGUGUGACUGCGUACCUUUUGUAUAAUGGGUCAGCGACUUAUAUUCUGUAGCAAGGUUAACCGUAUAGGGGAGCCGCAGGGAAACCGAGUCUUAACUGGGCGUUAAGUUGCAGGGUAUAGACCCGAAACCCGGUGAUCUAGCCAUGGGCAGGUUGAAGGUUGGGUAACACUAACUGGAGGACCGAACCGACUAAUGUUGAAAAAUUAGCGGAUGACUUGUGGCUGGGGGUGAAAGGCCAAUCAAACCGGGAGAUAGCUGGUUCUCCCCGAAAGCUAUUUAGGUAGCGCCUCGUGAACUCAUCUUCGGGGGUAGAGCACUGUUUCGGCUAGGGGGUCAUCCCGACUUACCAACCCGAUGCAAACUACGAAUACCGAAGAAUGUUAUCACGGGAGACACACGGCGGGUGCUAACGUCCGUCGUGAAGAGGGAAACAACCCAGACCGCCAGCUAAGGUCCCAAAGUCAUGGUUAAGUGGGAAACGAUGUGGGAAGGCACAGACAGCCAGGAUGUUGGCUUAGAAGCAGCCAUCAUUUAAAGAAAGCGUAAUAGCUCACUGGUCGAGUCGGCCUGCGCGGAAGAUGUAACGGGGCUAAACCAUGCACCGAAGCUGCGGCAGCGACACUAUGUGUUGUUGGGUAGGGGAGCGUUCUGUAAGCCUGCGAAGGUGUGCUGUGAGGCAUGCUGGAGGUAUCAGAAGUGCGAAUGCUGACAUAAGUAACGAUAAAGCGGGUGAAAAGCCCGCUCGCCGGAAGACCAAGGGUUCCUGUCCAACGUUAAUCGGGGCAGGGUGAGUCGACCCCUAAGGCGAGGCCGAAAGGCGUAGUCGAUGGGAAACAGGUUAAUAUUCCUGUACUUGGUGUUACUGCGAAGGGGGGACGGAGAAGGCUAUGUUAGCCGGGCGACGGUUGUCCCGGUUUAAGCAUGUAGGCUGGUUGUCCAGGCAAAUCCGGAUAAUCAAGGCUGAGGUGUGAUGACGAGGCACUACGGUGCUGAAGUAACAAAUGCCCUGCUUCCAGGAAAAGCCUCUAAGCAUCAGGUAACAUUAAAUCGUACCCCAAACCGACACAGGUGGUCAGGUAGAGAAUACCAAGGCGCUUGAGAGAACUCGGGUGAAGGAACUAGGCAAAAUGGUGCCGUAACUUCGGGAGAAGGCACGCUGGUGUGUAGGUGAAGUCCCUGCGGAUGGAGCUGAGACCAGUCGAAGAUACCAGCUGGCUGCAACUGUUUAUUAAAAACACAGCACUGUGCAAACACGAAAGUGGACGUAUACGGUGUGACGCCUGCCCGGUGCCGGAAGGUUAAUUGAUGGGGUUAUCCGUAAGGAGAAGCUCUUGAUCGAAGCCCCGGUAAACGGCGGCCGUAACUAUAACGGUCCUAAGGUAGCGAAAUUCCUUGUCGGGUAAGUUCCGACCUGCACGAAUGGCGUAAUGAUGGCCAGGCUGUCUCCACCCGAGACUCAGUGAAAUUGAACUCGCUGUGAAGAUGCAGUGUACCCGCGGCAAGACGGAAAGACCCCGUGAACCUUUACUAUAGCUUGACACUGAACAUUGAGCCUUGAUGUGUAGGAUAGGUGGGAGGCUUUGAAGCGUGGACGCCAGUCUGCGUGGAGCCAACCUUGAAAUACCACCCUUUAAUGUUUGAUGUUCUAACGUUGGCCCCUUACCGGGGUUGCGGACAGUGUCUGGUGGGUAGUUUGACUGGGGCGGUCUCCUCCCAAAGCGUAACGGAGGAGCACGAAGGUUAGCUAAUCCUGGUCGGACAUCAGGAGGUUAGUGCAAUGGCAUAAGCUAGCUUGACUGCGAGCGUGACGGCGCGAGCAGGUGCGAAAGCAGGUCAUAGUGAUCCGGUGGUUCUGAAUGGAAGGGCCAUCGCUCAACGGAUAAAAGGUACUCCGGGGAUAACAGGCUGAUACCGCCCAAGAGUUCAUAUCGACGGCGGUGUUUGGCACCUCGAUGUCGGCUCAUCACAUCCUGGGGCUGAAGUAGGUCCCAAGGGUAUGGCUGUUCGCCAUUUAAAGUGGUACGCGAGCUGGGUUUAGAACGUCGUGAGACAGUUCGGUCCCUAUCUGCCGUGGGCGCUGGAGAAUUGAGGGGGGCUGCUCCUAGUACGAGAGGACCGGAGUGGACGCAUCACUGGUGUUCGGGUUGUCAUGCCAAUGGCACUGCCCGGUAGCUAAAUGCGGAAGAGAUAAGUGCUGAAAGCAUCUAAGCACGAAACUUGCCCCGAGAUGAGUUCU